AGAACCCAGGCGACACGGCGACAACCUACCUCCCAUCUCCACCUCGAGCGCAUCUCCAUGCUCCAACACGGCGCCAACCCCUGCCACGCGCCGCCGCAGACAGCCCCCGCCUCUCCGCCGCGCGUCGCCACCACCGGCAAUUGUCAUCCGCAGCCCCUCUGUUGUGCACCGCUCCUCCGCUAUGCGUCGCCACCGCUGGCCACCGCAGUCCGGAUCCACCCCUUUGCAUCGAGGUUCUUCAAAUCUCCGACGAAUCCCUCUAUGGAUGGAGCAGCAUCGCCGGCCACGUAUGCGUUCGGACGGCUGGAUCCGCACCACCGCCGCCCGUGCCGGCGUUCCCACGGUCACGUUCCUCUCCACCGUCACCUGCGCCCGCCAGCGCUCAUCCAUAGCCGUGUUCUUUAUGGCUUCGUUGACCAUGAUGCCUCGGCUGAGACCCAGGCCUGCUUGGCCGCCAGAUGGAUGGAUACCGGCCAAGCUCACCCUCGGCGCCCCGGCUGCAACCCAUGGUUGAUUGGCCGCCGGCUAGAAGGGGGCGUCCUGCUCCUCCCGACUAAGCUUGAUGUGGGGCGUUGGACUGACAGCCUGGUGUUUGAGGCAGGACCGCAUGAGCAGUGGCUUGCAUCCAGUAGGAGGCAGCAAGAAGCAGCGACGAUUCUAAACUAGCUGCUAGCAAUGCACCCCCACCCUCUCAUCUACUUACAUGGAUUUUCAACGGCCAAACUACAUUCUUGAUUCUUUCUUUAGCGCUUUCAGUUUUCACUAACAAUCCAUAUUUUGUACACCGUGAACCCUGUUCAUGAGCAUCUGACAACAACCUGUUUGAUGUUAUGCAUACGACGGAUUGAGGUACAGUCUAAUUUUCAGGUCAAACUCUUACCUCUGUUUAGAAAAAUCAAUAUGAAGAAACAGGUGUAUCUAAUGUACGAUCUGCACUUAAGAACAAGUGUACAUGUUGCUCCAAGCUACCGACGUUGACAUCCAAAGAGUCAGCCAGGGUCCACGGUCCAUUUGAUUUCGUGGGGAUUAUUCAGUAAAAUGCGAUCUACACAGAAUCCAAUCCGAUCCAGGUGAAACAGAAGUUGGUAGAUUAUUCCGGCGAUGGGGCGUCUACUUGUGCGGCUCUGCAUGUAUGUUGCAAUCUACACAGAAUCCAAUCCGAUCCAGGUGAAACAGAAGUUGGUAGAUUAUUCCGGCGACGGGGCUUCUACUUGUGCGGCUCUGCAUAGCUCAAGGCAUCAGGUCUUCUUUAGAGAAAAAACUCUCGCUCAGUUUAUUUUCCAUGUUGUGUUAAAUUCCAAUGAACUAUCUUCAUUACAAAUGGUAAGCUAAAGCAGAUUAAAAAGGGUAAUAAAUUUGCUCAAUCCAUGGUCAGUUGCUAAACUCAGUAGGAUCUGCACUUCAAGGAGCUAACUGUUCACUAUAAUCCAUGGUCAGCCCUUAGGGUAUUCAUCCACUCAGGGUCCUGUAUCUGAAUUUUGUGGUCUGGAAAUUUUUACCGGUUAUUUCAUAAAUAAGAUUAUAGAGUUGUUCUCCCUAUGUUUUGCUAAUCUGCUCACUUGCUAUAGUAAAUAAAUAAUUAAAUUAUCGGGAGUCGUAAUUUCAAGGAAAGAAACAAGAGCACUUUGAGGUCGCUGCUAUCGCACCAGUACUGGCAGUACAUGGGAACAUUUGUUGGUGUUGUAUUCGCAUCAGUGGAGAUUUCUCCUUCAGUCACCAUGCCAAUCCAUGUCUAGCAUGUUUAGUCACAUUGAGCUCUUCCAACUUUUCUUAAGCUAUGUUGUACACACACACAAGUUUGCAGCUGAAUAUGAAUUAAUUUAUUGUGAUUUUUCAUUAUCAUGUAACGUGUUCUUUUAUCUGAUGAACAAUAAUAUAAUUCCAUGCCUAAAAUCAUAGUUUGGGAAUGUAUUUCUCUGCCAUCUAAUUUCCCUCAAUUAUUAGUUGAAGAGACAGUCGAUCAACCCCUCUCUAUUGUAUGGUUAUUUCGUGAACGUGAUUACGUGAAUGUUUCGGUUAUAUAUUUGAUAUUUUGACGCAGAAACCCAUUUUUUCAUGUGUGAACGUUGCAUA